rnacentral:rRNA from 1 species
AUUGAACGCUGGCGGCAGGCCUAACACAUGCAAGUCGAACGAGUCGCGGACGGGAGAGUAACGUCUGGGAAACAGCCUGAUGGAGGGGGUUACAUACUGGAAACGGUAGCUAAUACGGCAUACCAGCGGAUGUGCCCUGAGGGGAUUAGCCUGUUGGUGGGGUAACGGCUAACCAAGGCGACGAUCCAUAGCUGGUCUCAGAGCAUGAUCGGCCACACUGGAACUGAGACACGGUCCAGACUCCUACGGGAGGCAGCAGUAGGGAAUAUUGCGCAAUGGGCGCAAGCCUGAUGGAGCCAUGCCGCGUGUAUGAAGAAGGCCUUCGGGUUGUAAAGUACUUUUAUCAGAGAGGCGUUACCCGCAGAGAAAGCGCCGGCUAACUCCGUGCCAGCAGCCGCGGUAAUUC